GCAGGGGGAUGAACCACCAUCAUCAGAUGAGCAACCUUCAGAAGAGGAAGAUGAGGGCACGUCCUCUCAAAAGAAAACAGUGACAGAGAGAGAAGCAGCAGACCUAUCACAAGAUCCCACUGAUGAUGCUACUGAUGAAGAUGAUGAUGAUGAUGCUGAGUAUCAGAGUGAAGAUCAAACAAAGGAUCAAGCAGACGCAUGCGCGGGCACCAGUGGUGAACAAUAUGACUGAUGUAAAUAAUAAAUAUUGUUCUAGUCUGUGUAUUUACCUGCCUGUAACAGAUGCAGGGUUCAUGUAUUUGAAAAAAAAACAUUACAUUUGAUACAGAACAUAUAAUAUAAUGUAUAUACUUGUGUACAUUUUGUGUUUUAGUGUCACUGUUUGCUAUGUGUUGACAGUUGUUGUGAUGGUGUGUUGUGUUCCUUGUUGAGAUUCACGUGAUCUCAUAAUGCCAUUUCUUAAUGAUACCGAGUCAAUUUUAACAGUGGAAAUCGUUUAACCAAAAAUGUCUUCAUUUAAAAAAAUUAAUCAUAAAUUUUGCCAACAUGUAAUACCAAACCUCUCCUUGAUUGCUUUAUUGUAACAUGAAAGGAGAAAGUCAAAGAAAGUUGACAAUGUUCAUUCUUUUAACCCUCUUAAAUGCUGUUUGGCUCAUUUGAUCAUUUUCCACAUUGUUUCUGGAAUAAAAAUGAAAUAUAAAAAAAAUC